rnacentral:rRNA from 1 species
CUUAGUGGCGGACGGGUGAGUAACGCGUGGGUAACCUGCCUUGUACAGGGGGAUAACAGUCAGAAAUGACUGCUAAUACCGCAUAAGCGCACAGGACCGCAUGGUCCGGUGUGAAAAACUCCGGUGGUAUAAGAUGGACCCGCGUUGGAUUAGCUAGUUGGUGAGGUAACGGCCCACCAAGGCGACGAUCCAUAGCCGACCUGAGAGGGUGACCGGCCACAUUGGGACUGAGACACGGCCCAA